rnacentral:rRNA from 1 species
AACGAACGCUGGCGGCAGGCUUAACACAUGCAAGUCGAACGCUCGUAGCAAUACGGGAGUGGCGGACGGGUGAGUAACGCGUGGGAACGUGCCCUGAGGUACGGAAUAACUGCGGGAAACUGCAGCUAAUACCGUAUGAGCCCCUAACGGGGGAAAGAUUUAUCGCCUUGGGAGCGGCCCGCGUCGGAUUAGCUAGUUGGUGGGGUAACGGCCUACCAAGGCUUCGAUCCGUAGCUGGUCUGAGAGGACGAUCAGCCACACUGGGACUGAGACACGGCCCAGACUCCUACGGGAGGCAGCAGUGGGGAAUCUUGCGCAAUGGGGGCAACCCUGACGCAGCCAUGCCGCGUGAAUGAUGAAGGCCUUAGGGUUGUAAAGUUCUUUUGCCCGUGACGAUGAUGACGGUAACGGGAGAAUAAGCUCCGGCUAACUUCGUGCCAGCAGCCGCGGUAAGGCGUAUGUGU